AGUGAACGCUGGCGGCAGGCCUAACACAUGCAAGUCGAACGGCAGCACGGCAGUAGCAAUACUGUGGGUGGCGAGUGGCGGACGGGUGAGGAAUACAUCGGGAUCUACCCUGUUGUGGGGGAUAACGUAGGGAAACUUACGCUAAUACCGCAUAAGAACUGAGGUUGAAAGCGGCGGACCGCAAGGCGUCGCGCGAUUGGAUGAACCGAUGUCCGAUUAGCUAGUUGGCGGGGUAAAGGCCCACCAAGGCGACGAUCGGUAGCUGGUCUGAGAGGACGACCAGCCACACUGGAACUGAGACACGGUCCAGACUCCUACGGGAGGCAGCAGUGGGGAAUAUUGGACAAUGGAUGGAAAUCUGAUCCAGCCAUGCCGCGUGCAGGAAGACGGCCCUAUGGGUUGUAAACUGCUUUUGUAUGGGAGCAAUAAGAUCUACGUGUAGAUUGAUGAGAGUACCAUACGAAUAAGCACCGGCUAACUCCGUGCCAG
rnacentral:rRNA from 1 species